rnacentral:lncRNA from 1 species
GCCUUGCAGAUACGAAGCGUGCCUCUUUCAUGAACAAUAUAUUCAGCAUGUCUGCUGUCUUGAUAAACAAGUUUCGAAGCAUUGGCUUCUGCUGGUCCCCCACCAUGCUCCAUGGAAUUCUUAAGAUGCUUCUUCUCAUUAUAGUGUUUUCUUCGCACUUCCUGCACUGAAAAUCUUGUCACAACUUUAAUAAAUUUUUAGAUGUUCUUUCUGAAGUUGCGAUGUAUUGCAU